UUUUUUUUUUUUCUGAGUUGAAAUAACAUGUGUAUAUUGGU
rnacentral:sRNA from 1 species